GAUGAAGAACGUAGCGAAAUGCGAUAAGUAGUGUGAAUUGCAGAAUUCAGUGAAUCAUCGAAUCUUUGAACGCACAUUGCGCCCUUUGGUAUUCCAAAGGGCAUGCCUGUUCGAGCGUCAUUUGUACCCUCAAGCUUUGCUUGGUGUUGGGCGUCUUGUCUCUAGCUUUGCUGGAGACUCGCCCUAAAGUAAUUGGCAGCCGGCCUACUGGUUUCGGAGCGCAGCACAAGUCGCACUCUCUAUCAGCAAAGGUCUAGCAUCCAUUAAGCCUUUUUUUCAACUUUUGACCUCGGAUCAGGUAGGGAUACCCGCUGAACUUAAGCAUAUCAAUAAGCGGAGGA
rnacentral:misc_RNA from 1 species